rnacentral:rRNA from 1 species
AAUAGAUACCUGGUAGUCCACGCCGUAAACUAUGGAUGCUAGCCGUUGGCGGGCUUGCUCGUCAGUGGCGCAGUUAACGCUUUAAGCAUCCCGCCUGGGGAGUACGGUCGCAAGAUUAAAACUCAAAGGAAGUUGACGGGGGCCCGCACAAGCGGUGGAGCAUGUGGUUCAAUUCGAAGCAACGCGCAGAACCUUACCAGCCCUUGACAUGCCACGACGGUUCUCAGAGAUGAGUUCCUCCCCGCAAGGGGCGUGGACACAGGUGCUGCAUGGCUGUCGUCAGCUCGUGUCGUGAGAUGUUGGGUUAACGUCCCGCAACGAGCGCAACCCUCGCCCUUAGUUGCCAUCAUUUAGUUGGGCACUCUAAGGGGACUGCCGGUGAUAAGCCGCGAGGAAGUGGGGAUGACGUCAAGUCCUCAUGGCCCUUACGGGCUGGGCUACACACGUGCUACAAUGGCGGUGACAAUGGGAUGCGAUGGGGUGACCCUUAGCAAAUCUCAAAAAACGGUCCCCAGUUCGGAUUGCAGGCG